UACAGAGGGGGCAAGCGUUGUUCGGAAUUACUGGGCGUAAAGGGCGCGUAGGCGGCCUUCUAAGUCGAACGUGAAAUCCCCGGGCUUAACCUGGGAACUGCAUCCGAGACUGCAUAGCUAGAGUAUGGGAGAGGGAAGUGGAAUUUCAGGUGUAGCGGUGAAAUGCGUAGAUAUCUGAAGGAACAUCAGUGACGAAAGCGACUUCCUGGACCAAUACUGACGCUCAUGUGCGAAAGCGUGGGGAGCAAACAGG
rnacentral:rRNA from 1 species